GACGAACGCUGGCGGCGUGCCUAAUACAUGCAAGUCGAACGCACAGUUUAUACCGUUGCUUGCUACACUAUAGACUGUGAGUUGCGAACGGGAUAGUAACGCGUCGGUCACCUGCCUGGUAGCGGGGGCUAACUACUGUAAACGAUAGCUAAUACUGCAUAAUAUUCAUUGUUGCAUGCUAAUUGAUUGCUAGGUACAAUUGCACCACUACCGGAUUGACCUGCGUUGUAUUAGCCCGUAGGACAGGUAACGGCUCACCUAGGCGGCGAUACAUAGCCGACCUUGGGAGGAGGACCGCCCACCCUGGAAUUGGAAAAGGCCCAGACCUCCACGGGAAGGAGCAGUAGGGGAACUUUGGAAAUGGACGGAAGGCUUAACGAGCAACGGCGCGGGGGUGAAGAAGGGUUUCGGGGCGUAAAGCUCUGUUGUAAGGGAAGAAAGGGUGUGAGAGUGGAAAGUUCACUCUGUGACGGUAUCUGAACAGAAAGCGACGGCUAACUACGUG
rnacentral:rRNA from 1 species